GACAGAGGGUGCAAACGUUGUUCGGAAUUACUGGGCGUAAAGCGCGUGUAGGCGGCCAUCUAAGUCGGGCGUGAAAUCCCACGGCUCAACCGUGGAAGUGCACUCGAAACUGGAUGGCUAGAGUCCUGGAGAGGAAGGUGGAAUGCUUGGUGUAGAGGUGAAAUUCGUAGAUAUCAAGCGGAACACCGGUGGCGAAGGCGGCCUUCUGGACAGUGACUGACGCUGAGACGCGAAAGCGUGGGGGAGCAAACA
rnacentral:rRNA from 1 species